UCAGGACGAACGCUGGCGGCACGCUUAACACAUGCAAGUCGAACGGAGUUAUCGAGAGCUUGCUUUGAUAACUUAGUGGCGGACGGGUGAGUAACACGUGAGCAAUCUGCCCUUAAGAGGGGGAUAGCAAGUUGGAAACGACUGAUAAUACCGCAUAAGAUAGUAGUACCGCAUGGUACAGCUAUAAAAGAUUUAUCGCUUAAGGAUGAGCUCGCGUCUGAUUAGCUAGUUGGUGAGGUAACGGCUCACCAAGGCAACGAUCAGUAGCCGGACUGAGAGGUUGGACGGCCACAUUGGGACUGAGACACGGCCCAGACUCCUACGGGAGGCAGCAGUGGGGAAUAUUGCACAAUGGAGGAAACUCUGAUUGCAGCGAUGCCGCGUGAGGGAAGAAGGUUUUAGGAUUGUAAACCUCUGUUGACAGGGACGAUAAUGACGGUACCUGUUGAGGAAGCUCCGGCUAACUACGUGCCAGCCGCAGC
rnacentral:rRNA from 1 species